rnacentral:rRNA from 1 species
GACGAACGCUGGCGGCGUGCUUAACACAUGCAAGUCGAGCGAUGAGAUCACUUCGGUGAAGGAUUAGCGGCGAACGGGUGAGGAACACGUGAAGAAUCUGCCUUCAACUCUGGGAUAACUCCGGGAAACCGGGGCUAAUACCGGAUAUGAGCCUUGAUCGCAUGAUCGGGGCUGGAAAGUUUUUCGGUUGAAGAUGACUUCGCGGCCUAUCAGCUUGUUGGUGAGGUAAUGGCUCACCAAGGCGACGACGGGUAGCCGGCCUGAGAGGGCGACCGGCCACACUGGGACUGAGACACGGCCCAGACUCCUACGGGAGGCAGCAGUGGGGAAUAUUGGGCAAUGGAGGAAACUCUGACCCAGCGACGCCGCGUGCGGGAU